UCCCGCCCACGAGUUGCGUACGGGCACGGCACGCUCAAAGCGCGGGUGUCGAUUGGCGUGCCUGAAAGGAGGUCACCUUCGGAGAGAUCGAACAGCCCCUCCCACGUCAUACACACACACACACACACAAACAGGGAGUAGUACACUCGCCAGCGAAGCUAGAGUCAACGAUGUCCGGGAACUUGAGGUGUGUGAUCGUGGCCGUCGAUGGCAGUGAGGAGAGCAUGAACGCCUUGACAUGGGCGCUCGACAACCUCAAGCUCCGAUCCCCUGUGGACGAUUACACCCCCGGCGGCUCCUUCGUCGUACUCCACGUCCAAUCCCCGCCGUCCAUCGCCGCGGGCCUCAAUCCCGGUUCCAUUCCCUUCGGCGGGCCCAGUGGUUUGGAGGUGCCUGCCUUCACUGCGGCUAUUGAGGCGCACCAGGGGCGAAUCACGGAGGCGAUACUGGAUCACUCUCUCCGGAUUUGCUCUGAAAAGAAUGUGAAAGUUGAAACCAAAGUAAUUCUUGGUGAUCCAAAAGAGAAGAUUUGUGAAUUUGUUGAGAAUUUGCAGGCCGAUUUACUUGUGGUGGGGUCCCGUGCUUUCAGUCCUAUUAAAAGGAUGUUUUUGGGAAGUGUAAGUAACUAUUGCACCAACCAUGUGCAAUGCCCAGUGAUCGUAGUCAAGGGCAAGGGGACUGCCUGAUUAGCUAAGAUAGUACAUGGUGGCUUACCUACCUGAGAUUAGUUGCGACAGAUAAGUUUCAGAGACCAAUGUAUUUCAGAUGAAGAGGCUUUCGAAAGCUAGUGUUCUCAUCUUAGCCUUUUGCACCUGUUGUCGUCUUGUGCUGAUGCUAAUAGGGCUCCAAGAUCAUGUUGUAAUUUGGGUGUGCAUUUCAGAUUUGUGACCAAGUUUUAGGUGCCAAGUUGUUGUAUUCAGGGCUGCUGCUUGACCAGCUAUGCUGUUUUAUCACUCUCCCGCAUCCUUUUCAAGCUGUUUUGAAGUAGAAAUUUGCGUAUGGUGCAUUAUCUUAUGUUUUAUGUUGUUGUAAAUCGAUGUUGUACUUGUGUUCUUAUUGUUCUUAUUGUUUUCUGUGGUGGGUGUUGUAAUGAUAUUUGUCCUAAAGAUGAAUUGAUUUCUUUGGCUGUUA